GACGUAGGGCGCGAGCGUUGUCCGGAUUUAUUGGGCGUAAAGAGCGUGUAGGCGGUCAGGUAGGUCCGUUGUGAAAACUCGAGGCUCAACCUCGAGACGCCGAUGGAAACCAUCUGACUAGAGUCCGGAAGAGGAGAGUGGAAUUCCUGGUGUAGCGGUGAAAUGCGCAGAUAUCAGGAAGAACACCCGUGGCUAAGGCGGCUCUCUAGUACGGUACUGACGCUGAGACGCGAAAGCGUGGGAGCGAACAGG
rnacentral:rRNA from 1 species